CCGGCCCAGCGGAGGAUCGGUGGCUGCAGGGGUCCCGGAGAGAGGGGAAAGGCAGCAAUAAAGUGAGGGAGCCAGCUCAGAUGAUCAACAAAGAACUAAAGUAACAGGCAUUUCAGGACAGUAUUUCAGUGUUGUUCCAACAGGUAAAGACUUUGACAAGCCACUAAUGUCACCCCAAUGAUGCCAACUGAAAAUCUGAGCAAUAUAAGAAAAAUAAAAAAAAACCCAAAGAUCGUCCAGGCUACAGACAUCUCUCUGUGGAAGAAAGGGUGUGUCAUUUCAGCUCAUAGGACCAGGCAUGAUAUAGAAUAAAUGCUCUCUAGCUACAUGUAGAAUGAUUACAAAAUGAAACCCAAGGAUACAAUUCCUGUGUUACUGUGACUGUU